rnacentral:rRNA from 1 species
GGUUGAUCCUGCCAGUAGUCAUAUGCUUGUCCCAAAGAUUAAGCCAUGCAUGUCUAAGUAUAAACAAGUCUAUACAGUGAAACUGCGAAUGGCUCAUUAUAUCAGUUAUAAUUUACUUGAUAGUCUCUUUACUACAUGGAUAACCGUGGUAAUUCUAGAGCUAAUACAUGCGCAAAGCCUGUCGAGGGCUGUAUUUAUUAGAUAAAAAACCAAUGCUCUGUCUUUUGGGCAGAGCUCCCUUGGUGAUUCAUAAUAACUUUUCCGAUCGCAUAGCCUUGUGCUGGCGACGUUU